UGGGGAAUAUUGGACAAUGGGCGAAAGCCUGAUCCAGCCAUGCCGCGUGUGUGAAGAAGGUCUUCGGAUUGUAAAGCACUUUAAGUUGGGAGGAAGGGCAGUAAGCGAAUACCUUGCUGUUUUGACGUUACCGACAGAAUAAGCACCGGCUAACUCUGUGCCAGCAGCCGCGGUAAUACAGAGGGUGCAAGCGUUAAUCGGAAUUACUGGGCGUAAAGCGCGCGUAGGUGGUUCGUUAAGUUGAAUGUGAAAGCCCCGGGCUCAACCUGGGAACUGCAUCCAAAACUGGCGAGCGAGAGUAGGGCAGAGGGUGGUGGAAUUUCCUGUGUAGCGGAGAAAUGCGUAGAUAUAGGAAGGAACACCAGUGGCGAAGGCGACCACCUGGGCUCAUACUGACACUGAGGUGCGAAAGCGUGGGGAGCAAACAGG
rnacentral:rRNA from 1 species